UGAGUGGCUGGGAUUACAGGUGUGCGCCACCACCAGGGUGAUAUGUUAACAGGAUAUAGGAAAAAGGCUUCACUGUGCAAGACCUCUAAAUACCAAAACAGAGUCGAAACUGUGAAAUCUAUUUCAAUGCAUGAGAGCUCCUGUCGCUCCACAUCCUCAGCAGCACGUGGUGUUCGGUGUUCUGGAUUUUAGACAUUCUAAUAGGACUCAUUAGUUCUAACAGAUUUGUUUGUCAAUUCCUCAAGAUUUUCUACAUCUAAAAUCAUGUCAUCUGCAAAAAGAGCCCAGCUUCCCUGCUGAGGGAAGUGAGGAUAGCGUGCAAGAAGCCCCUGUCCCUGGAGAAAAGGAGAGCGGCUGGUCAAGGACACAGAUGAGGCCAUGCUUUCUGGUGCGAAGAUCCAAAGAAUAUCACGCCGUGAUUCUUCUGCUUCUCUGCAUGAAUCCCAAUCAACCAACCAAUCUCUCUCCUCCUCUCACUCACAGUAUCUUCCUACCAUUACACAGCUGGACCUGGGAUAGUCGGCUGGCCGCAAAGGCCUGGGUCAGCUCAUGAGGCACCCACUCAUGGAGCUUUUUCAUCCUUCCAAUUUGCUUCAAAUGCCAAACGACUGUAGAAUGGUUGACGCUGAGUUCUUCAGCAACUUCUCAUGUAGCUUUAAAAGGAUCAGCUUCGAUGACUGCUCUCAAUUGGUUGUUAUCAACUUCUGAAGGCCGGCCACUAAGCUCCUCAUCCUCAAGGUUCUCAUCUCCUUUGCAAAACUUCUUGAACCAUCACUGCACGAAACUCAGCUUUGGCAAUUCAAACGGAGUGGCACAUCAGGAUGGGUGUGUGUAUCUUUGAAUGACCUCAUGAGGCUGACUUGCCUCCUAGCAGCAUGGACCAGACAGUUACAUGAGAGGCCAAUAUGGUGAGAUAAUGGCUCAUGGCAGACAACAAACAUCUAUGCCUCGACUAACUGUUCCCGAAACUACUGUCCAUUAAUUAAUCCUAAAGCCAAAAGAGGAUACAUAAUUUUCCUUCUUAAACAUAUGAAGGUAAGUUGCAGACAAGAUGUCAUUUUACUUCUAAAUAUGUCAGUGUACAUCUCCUAAAAGCAAGGUAUAUCUCUUCUAUAAUCACAGUACAAGGAUCAAAAUCAGACAAGCCUAACACUGCUAACAUUGCUAUCACCUCAUCUCCAGACCUUAUUCAAAUCUCACCAAUUGUCCCACUUAUGACCCUUACUACAAAAGAAAAACAUUUUUCUUCUGGUCCAGGAUCUAAACCAGGAUCACACAUUGCAUUUAGUUGUCAUGUGUCUUUAGUUUCCUUUGAUCUACAUAAGUUGCUCAACUCUUCUUUGUGUUUCCUGACCUUGACAUGUUUGAAGAGAAGAAGCCAUUUAUUUUGUAGACUGUCUUUCAAUUUGGUUUGUCUGAUGUUUCCUCAUGAUUAUACUCAGGUUGUACAUUUUUGGCAAGAAUAUCAUAGAAAUGACUGUUGAGAGAGGAAUGUCUUCUGUUAUUCAUAACAAGCUCCUUUCAAUCAUACCUGAGUUUAUGCUAAUGAGAUGACUCUUAGAGGAUGGGAGCAGGUGGCCAGAGGAUCCAACCAUGUGAUUAAGGGGUUGGAACUUUCAGCCCCACCCCCACCCUCCAAAGGGGAGAGGGACUGAAGAAUGACUUAAUCACUAAUGGCAGAUUGAUAGGAUCAAUCAUGCCUACCUAGUCAGGCCUUCAUAAAAACCCAAGGACAAGGAUCAGAGGACUUGUGGGUUGCUGAACACACGGAAGUGAUGGAGGGUGGUGCACCUGGAGAGGGCAUGGAUGCUCUGCACCCCUUCCUAACACCUUGCCCUGUGCAUCUCCUCCACUGGGUUACUCUCAAGCUGUACCCUUUAUAAUAAACUGAUAAUAGUAAGCAAAGAGUUUCUGCGAGUUCUGUGAGUGAUAGUGCAAAUUAUCACCUACAACCCUCAUUCUUGGAAUCACUUCACAAGUGCCUUUAGUGAACCAACGUUAACACUUUCUAUCUAGAAUGUGCCACAUUCUACAAAUCAACUACCGUGGACUCUCCUGAAAAUUAAUGAAAUGAAAUAUGAAAGACGGCAAGAUAAUAAAGAGACAUAAUCAAAGACACUGUGUAACUUUGGGCCACAGAUGGGAUUAAAAAACAAUAAAAAAAGACUCCGAGGGACAAGCUUAAAUAUGGACAAUACAUGAGAUGAAACUGUUAGGUUGCUGUCAAUUUUCCUUGGGUGUAAUGAUGGUAUUGUGCUUUUUUGCAGGAAUGAAAUGGCCACUGCAAAAAUUAUGACACUGAGAAAAAUCCGACCUAACCAACUUUAUCUUGCUUUUAACCUCCAAGCUGCCCCUGUUCAUUCCUGGGUGUAGGCCAUGCUAACUAUAAGAGGAAUUUAAUUUAUACUUUAACUGUAAAACAAUGAAAACAGCCCCUUCCCAAAACAAACCCCCUCCUUGUCUGGGGAACAGACUGCAUUUGUAAAACUAACAUUAGAAAUUAAGGCUCAGGAGUCAUGCAGCCAGACCAGCAAACUGGCUCAACUAGUUCUGUGAUCUUACCCAGUAACUGAAGGUAGCAAGAAGACCCUGCCUCAAGCACCUAUAAUUUCAUCCCCAAACCAACCAGUCAGCAUUCCUCACUCCCUGGCCCCCUGCCCACCAAAUUAUUCUUUAAAAACCCUAGCCUCCAAAUUUUGGGAGAAAUUUAUUUGAGUAAUAAAACUUCAGUCUCCCAUUUAGCCAGCCCUGUGUUUAUUAAACUCUUUCUCUA
rnacentral:lncRNA from 1 species